rnacentral:rRNA from 1 species
AUCGGCAUGAGUAGUACUAGAUAGUGCUUUCAGGAUAUUUCAAUGUAUUAGGUUUAUCCAACUCGUUGAGAAUUCUUGGUAGUGAAUUUUUAGUAUCAUGGCUCUGCCUUACAAAACAACAAACAAGUUUGACCUCAAAUCAGGUAGGAUUACCCGCUGAACUUAAGCAUAUCAAUAAGCGGAGGAAAAGAAACCAACAGGGAUUGUCUUAGUAACGGCGAGUGAAGCGACAAAAGCUCAAAUUUGAAAUCUGGCACCUUCGGUGUCCGAGUUGUAAUUUGAAGAAGGUAACUUUGGAGUUGGCUCUUGUCUAUGUUCCUUGGAACAGGACGUCACAGAGGGUGAGAAUCCCGUGCGAUGAGAUGUCCAACUCUAUGUAAAGUGCUUUCGAAGAGUCGAGUUGUUUGGGAAUGCAGCUCUAAGUGGGUGGUAAAUUCCAUCUAAAGCUAAAUAUUGGCGAGAGACCGAUAGCGAACAAGUACAGUGAUGGAAAGAUGAAAAGAACUUUGAAAAGAGAGUGAAAAAGUACGUGAAAUUGUUGAAAGGGAAGGGUUUGAGAUCAGACUUGGUAUUUUGUAUGUCUUGCUUUCGGGUGGGGCCUCUGCAGUUUACUGGGCCAGCAUCGGUUUGGACGGUAGGAUAAUGACAUUGGAAUGUGGCACUACUUCGGUGGUGUGUUAUAGACUUUGUUGAUACUACCUGUCUAGACCGAGGACUGCGUCUUUGACUAGGAUGCUGGCAUAAUGAUCCUAAACCGCCCGUCUUGAAACACGGACCAAGGAGUCUAACGUCUAUGCAAGUGUUUGGGUGUAAAACCCGUACGCGUAAUGAAAGUGAACGUAGGUGAGAGCUCUUUAGAGUGCAUCAUCGACCGAUCCUGAUGUCUUCGGAU